ACCAACGAGCCACUCUCGGCAGAGCGGCUCCCGGCGCCUCCCUUCAGCCUCGCCCCGCCUCUCGUCGCCUUUCCCGCCGACCCGACCUGCGACCUUUCUCCCACCGCCUGGACCGUGCACCCGCAGCGGUGGGCCUCGGAACCCCUCUCGCCUCAGCCAGACCACCCAGCGCCCGGGUCUACGCUGCACACGGCGUGGCGGCGGGCGCGGAGGCCGCGGCUGGGAGGGUGCGGGGCCCCGCGGGUGCCGGCCGCGCAGCGUCUCGCCGCCGUCAGUGCUCGCUGGGCGCGAGGGGACCGUCGCGCCUGGCUCAGCCUCCCGUUCGUGCCCUCGGACGGCAGCCCGCUGCUGAAAGCAGGCGGGCGGAGCGGGCGCGGAAGAAACCCCGGAGGAGGGUUAAGAGCUAACUUUCCCAGUGCUGCUUAUGGGAUCUUGCAGGUACGGAGCUCGCAGGAUGUUCGCCACGUCCCGCCCGUAGGCACUACGGGUCGCCCUUUGCAAAGGAAAAGCAGGCCCCCCACACGCCAGGUAGCUCGCUCGGGGCGGUGGGCUAGAAGGGCUUCGGAAGGGGCGGCAGGUGGGGCGGAAGCGAGAGGCGCCCAGGCGGCUGCAGGGGCCUGGAGGACUUCCGGCCCGGGCGCCCCCUGCGGCGGGAGGGCGGGGCCUCGGCUCGCCCCGCCCCCGGCGCCCCGCCCCCGGCGCCCCCCCCCGGCGCCCCGCCCCCGGCGCCCCGCCCCCGGCGCCCCGCCCCCGGCGCCCCGCCCCCGGCGCCCCGCCCCCGGCGCCCCGCCCCCGGCGCCCCGCCCCCGGCGCCCCGCCCCCGGCGCCCCGCCCCCGGCGCCCCGCCCCCGGCGCCCGCCUCUUCCCAGGGCUGCGGAGGGCCAGGUUCAGGACCCCAAGCUUCCUUUGAGUCGGGGUCCGUGGCAGCCGUUGCUCCGUAGCUGUCAGCUCUCCCGAGGGGUCAGUGUUCUUGCCCCUUCACCUUUUGGAAGCUCCCCGCUUCCCCCAGCUUCUCUGCUCUUCCCCUCUCCCUUCCUCCUGAGGCCAGCGGGCUCUUGGGGUGUCUCUCAGUGA
rnacentral:lncRNA from 1 species